UACGUAGGGGGCUAGCGUUGUCCGGAAUCAUUGGGCGUAAAGCGCGUGUAGGCGGUCCGGUAAGUCCGCUGUGAAAGUCGAGGGCUCAACCCUCGAAUGCCGGUGGAUACUGUCGGGCUAGAGUACGGAAGAGGCGAGUGGAAUUCCUGGUGUAGCGGUGAAAUGCGCAGAUAUCAGGAAGAACACCCGUGGCGAAAGCGGCUCUCUGGAACGGUACUGACGCUGAGACGCGAAAGCGUGGGGAGCGAACAGG
rnacentral:rRNA from 1 species